rnacentral:rRNA from 1 species
AAUUUUGGACAAUGGGGGAAACCCUGAUCCAGCCAUCCCGCGAGUAUGAUGAAGGCCUUCGGGUUGUAAAGGACUCUUUGCAGAGAAGAAAAGGUAUCUCCUAAUACGGGAUAUUGCCGACGUUAUCGUCAGAAUAAGCCCCGGCUAAUUACGUGCCAGCAGCCGCGGUAAUACGUAGGGCGCAGGCGUUAAUCGGAAUUACUGGGCGUAAAGCGUGUGUAGGCGGUUCGGAAAGAAAGAUGUGAAAUCCCAGGGCUCAACCUUGGAACUGCAUUUUUAACAGCCGAGCUAGAGUAUGUCAGAGGGGGGUAGAAUUCCACGUGUAGCAGUGAAAUGCGUAGAUAUGUGGAGGAAUACCGAUGGCGAAGGCAGCCCCCUGGGAUAAUACUGACGCUCAGACACGAAAGCGUGGGGAGCAAACAGG